GACGAACGCUGGCGGCGUGCUUAACACAUGCAAGUCGAACGGAAAGGCCCUGCUUUUGUGGGUUGCUCGAGUGGCGAACGGGUGAGUAACACGUGAGUAACCUGCCCUUGACUUUGGGAUAACUUCAGGAAACUGGGGCUAAUACCGGAUAGGAGCUCCUGCUGCAUGGUGGGGGUUGGAAAGUUUCGGCGGUUGGGGAUGGACUCGCGGCUUAUCAGCUUGUUGGUGGGGUAGUGGCUUACCAAGGCUUUGACGGGUAGCCGGCCUGAGAGGGUGACCGGCCACAUUGGGACUGAGAUACGGCCCAGACUCCUACGGGAGGCAGCAGUGGGGAAUAUUGCACAAUGGGCGGAAGCCUGAUGCAGCAACGCCGCGUGCGGGAUGACGGCCUUCGGGGUGUAAACCGCUUUCGCCUGUGACGAAGCGUGAGUGACGGUAAUGGGUAAAGAAGCACCGGCUAACUACGUG
rnacentral:rRNA from 1 species